UUCCGUAAGGGGUACCUGCGGAGGGAUCAUUACCGAGUUUACAACUCCCAAACCCAAUGUGAACGUUACCAAACUGUUGCCUCGGCGGGAUCUCUGCCCCGGGUGCGUCGCAGCCCCGGACCAAGGCGCCCGCCGGAGGACCAACCAAAACUCUUUUUGUAUACCCCCUCGCGGGUUUUUUUAUAAUCUGAGCCUUCUCGGCGCCUCUCGUAGGCGUUUCGAAAAUGAAUCAAAACUUUCAACAACGGAUCUCUUGGUUCUGGCAUCGAUGAAGAACGCAGCGAAAUGCGAUAAGUAAUGUGAAUUGCAGAAUUCAGUGAAUCAUCGAAUCUUUGAACGCACAUUGCGCCCGCCAGUAUUCUGGCGGGCAUGCCUGUCCGAGCGUCAUUUCAACCCUCGAACCCCUCCGGGGGGUCGGCGUUGGGGAUCGGCCCUGCCUCUUGGCGGUGGCCGUCUCCGAAAUACAGUGGCGGUCUCGCCGCAGCCUCUCCUGCGCAGUAGUUUGCACACUCGCAUCGGGAGCGCGGCGCGUCCACAGCCGUUAAACACCCAACUUCUGAAAUGUUGACCUCGGAUCAGUAGCUGCCGCUCGA
rnacentral:rRNA from 1 species